rnacentral:rRNA from 1 species
UAGUGGCGCACGGGUGCGUAACGCGUGGGAAUCUGCCCUUGGGUUCGGGAUAACAGUUGGAAACGACUGCUAAUACCGGAUGAUGUCGGACCAAAGAUUUAUCGCCCAGGGAUGAGCCCGCGUCGGAUUAGCUAGUUGGUGGGGUAAAAGCCUACCAAGGCGACGAUCCGUAGCUGGUCUGAGAGGAUGAUCAGCCACACUGGGACUGAGACACGGCCCAGACUCCUACGGGAGGCAGCAGUGGGGAAUAUUGGACAAUGGGCGAAAGCCUGAUCCAGCAAUGCCGCGUGAGUGAUGAAGGCCUUAGGGUUGUAAAGCUCUUUUACCCGGGAUGAUAAUGACAGUACCGGGAGAAUAAGCCCCGGCUAACUCCGUGCCAGCAGCCGCGGUAAUACGGAGGGGGCUAGCGUUGUUCGGAAUUACUGGGCGUAAAGCGUACGUAGGCGGCUUUGUAAGUUAGAGGUGAAAGCCCGGGGCUUAACCCCGGAAUUGCCUUUAAGACUGCAUCGCUUGAAUCAUGGAGAGGUGAGUGGAAUUCCGAGUGUAGAGGUGAAAUUCGUAGAUAUUCGGAAGAACACCAGUGGCGAAGGCGACUCACUGGACAUGUAU